GGGCGGUAGGUUGGACGGCUCUGGGAACGGAGAUGGCUGACAGCAGCCUGUGGCGAGUGCAGGAAGACACCCGCACUGUCUCUGCAAUUGCUACCAGCUGGAUUUCAGGGUUCACUGAAGGCACAGACCUGCCCUUGAUGCUGGGUUUGACCAAUGACCUUUCUACAGUGACCCGAGAGCAGCUGUUGCAUGGCUGGCUGUCCUGGGUUGCCCUGGCUCUGGUGGCCAAAGGCUGGGACACACCUGCACUCACUCUCAGGCUCCACAAGGAUAGACAGCAAAAGCCACAAGGAUGCCAAUAAAGAGGCUGCAUGCUGUGACAGGGAUCCAGAGAUGAACAUCUGCUUCUGGUGAGAGGUGGAGCCCCGGCCCAGAGUCAGUCAGUCGAUCCACUUACCAGGGCAUCUGCCUUGGUACUCACCAACACACACGGGUGAGGAGCUCCAGUCACCCAGGCCAGCCCCUUCACCCACUUCUGAUAUCUGACUUGAGGCAACCACAAUCUAAAGACAUUAAAGUUCUUUACUCUGAAUUAACCCACCCUCUGGCAGUGCGGUAAAAUGUCAUGGCCUUGGGCUCGGUACUGCCACCAUGCAUGUGAGUCACCCCUCUGUCUGGCUUUUUGCAUUAUCCACACCCGUAGAGACCUGGUAGCUAUUUCCACGAUCAGAUCAACUGUCACUACACACCAAAGACCAGCCACAAAAGUGCUUCCUUCAGGUGAAAAGGUGAAAUUCAUGGUGUAAUAAACAACUUAAAAAA